rnacentral:lncRNA from 1 species
GCGCCAUCUCUGGGGUAAAGUCUCAGAAAAAGUGUCGGUCGAUCCACCGAUCGUUGUAGAAGGGUAGGGGUGCCUGUAUCAGGGGGUUGGGAAGUCAGUCAGACGUAUUAAUGGACCCCUUUGUCUUUAGGAAGAAGCAAGUGCAUGCAAGUGACGAGAUGAAAUAGUACAAGGCUGCAAAGUAUUGUAUUGUAUGCAUCCCAUCUACUUUCUGCAUUUUGCACCGAGAGGCAAAGAAACGACCAUACCAGACGAAGGUUUUCGAAAUUGCAGUUAAUGUAGUUUGAAUACCCAGUUUAUGGAUGGUGACUCGUAUACUGCUAAAAGUACCGUAGGAACUUUGAGAGAAAAAUCCAAUCAUGGUUUCUUCCGAAAAGAAGAAAGGAACAAAGAGAAUUAUAGGAAAAAGAAUGAGUAUUCUAUUACUCUGACUCUGCUCUGUCAAGAGUGAAACGCGUACCCCCUACUGUUUUACGAACGCACCUUACUAUUUUAAGAGAGAAAUUGCGCAAAAACCAUCUUAAAACCAUAUGGUGCGUUCGUAAAACAAGAGGGGUACGCGCUUCGUUCUUGCUCUUUAGACAAUCGUUAUCGUAGUAAACGAUAUCGAUAUAUCUAAAAGAAGCGAUAUAUCUAUUCGAGUACAGAUAUAUCGCCAACCAGUGUUGCCAACUAGCCGGGAUUUUGGAGUGGCACCCGGGAGAAACGCCGGGAUUUGACCAAACCCGGGUUUUUUCCGGGAAUUUUGCCUAAUAAAAUAUUUUUUGUGUGUGAUACUAUAUAAAUCGUAAAAUCGAUGUUUUUUUACACUUUAAAUCCCAUUUUUUGUAUAGUUUUUUGAAGACCUUAUCAAUACUCGAUAGGUGUCGUUGGUUGCAUACCUAUGUUAUUAACAAUUUAACAUAUCCCUUAUCCUAGUCAUAUCCCUCACACAAUCAUUGUGACACAAUGUCAAUUGAAUAAUUUUCAAUUCCCACAUUCUAAUCAAAAUGCUUUUUAAUUUUGUCCUUGUCAUUUCAGUAAUUAAUUGCAACAAUUGUUUUGCGAUUCAUUUAAUGUGAUAUAAUCCAGAGAGAUCUCGUUCGUUUAAUGCAGUAUUUGUCUUCCAAUAAACAAGCAAGUGUUUCCGUCGUUCAAAAAACAGCAAAAACAACAUUUAAAUUCAUUUAAACUGAAAACCGGGAUUUUUUCCAUCAAUUUCCGGGAUUUUUUAGAAAAAUCAGAAACCGGGAUCGUUCCGGGAUUUUUUUAACGACAAAACCGGGAAAACGGCCAAAAGUAGUUGGCAACGCUGUCGCCAACAGUACUUUCCAUUCUUGGUCUGUGGUUGAGUGUUACCUUUUGGUAAUCGUCUGGGUAAAUAAAUGUAAAGUAUUCGCAUGGUAUUCGUGAUUGUGCAAUUCAAUUGUAUAUUCACUAUUUUAUGAUAAAAGUACCAUGAGAGGCAGCAUCUGAGAGAAUAUUUUGAUUUUGCGUUAGUAACUGAACCAGAAUUGAACUUACUUGUUCAAUGGUCCUUCAAUGGUCCAUUUUCUCGUGGCGUCGAUUGAGCGGAAAUGGAGGUCUCCAGAAAACGGAAUUUCUCUGGUGAUUCCCUGGUAUUCGAACCUGGCAAAAAUCUGAUCUGAGAGGCAUCACACCGCACUUUGAAAAUAAUGACUGAGUAUUACAUGUGUAAGAGUGUGAUAUCUUCACAACCAAAUUUCUAGCAACUCAGCAUUUGAUUAACACAACUGUGAGGAAGGACUCAGCCUAGAGAUUGAGAGCCCUAAGCAGAUACAACUAGCCCAUACAAGUUGUAGCACAAAGAUUGUUCAACCAUGAUUCUUCCUGAACACUUAAGCAGUAUGGAAUGCUUGACAGAGGAUGAGUGUUAAAGAUGCCAAAUGUGAAACAUGUGGAAAAGGUCUGACAAAAUCUGUAGGCAUUGGGAUUACACAGAUUUGGAACUUUAGGUUAUCGAGUUGGUUAUUUAAAGGCAGUAAUAAUUGUGCUGCAAACAAUUUGCAAAGCAUGCUCAUCUGUUCUUAUUGACAAGAUAAGAAAAUUCUCAAUUUGAAAACCAAGGGUAAAGACGAUUUGCUACGUGACUACGGAUAGGAUUUCACCGUGCGAGCCGAGGAUUCUCCUGCCAUUAGAAGUUUUACAAGUGGUAAAAUGCUUUUUCAGUUGUCAAGUUUGUUUCGAAUUUUAAUCACUCAUCCUGUUUAUCGGGAAAAAUACUGCCGACAAAAAAGUAUAUACAUUUGGACAAUGGUUUUGCCAAGUGCGAUGAAUACAUUCAUCUUUUCACAGGUCAGAUGCUUUGGCUUCCCGGUUGCAAUGAAGAUGUAUUACCGAGUCUAAAAUAUUAAAAGGUGGUACCGCAUUAUGUGUUCCUAUAUAUAUAUAUAUAUUAAACUACUAAUGUAUGGGUAGAAUUUCCUGGAAUUUGUUAUGAGGCCUGAUAGGUUUGCGAAAACGUGCAGCAUCCAAGUAACAGCCCAUGGUCAUAUCCAAAAGCGGGUCCAGGGGAUCUUGUAUUAAUGUGUCCCAAAUGAUUGCUUGCGUCGGCCUGCAAGCCUAGCUGGCAAUCGAGCAGCCGCUCGAUGGCUGUGGUUUUGAAGAUCACACUUUGCCCCAUUUAAAGCGAUAUUUCAAAAUCCCCUUUUCAUGGGGCUGAACAGUUUAAAGAAUUCAUUGACGCCCUAAGGUCACCCGUAAAUUUGUUUACUCCACCUAGCUUCUAAUCGAUGACAACCCUGAAUGCUCGGAGGAGUAAAUUUGAAACAAAAAUAUUCCUUUCAGUUUUUUACUUUUGUGUUUUGAUAGGUGAUGGAAUAUUUCGAAGAAGUAUAUCUGCACGAUGACCGUUUCAUGUUGGUUAAAUUGGACACGAACAUAAUACGUCUGCUGAAACAAGUGGUGAAAGAGAAUUCUAUUUAUUAGAGGUAGAUAUGUUCUGGUAUUACAAAAUUUUUCAAUUGAUUUCGGAUUUAAGUGUUCGUGCCUGCCUGUGAAAGCAACGACACCAGCCCCGCGCUACUGUUGGGGGGUUCAAUGUCUGCAUACCGGAAGUGUCUCCCCAGGAAAUAAAAAAUAUGAAGACCUUUUUAGAGAGUUAGAUUUCGAGGAGUUAUGUAACAAGUGCAAAAAGAGUGUUUCGGAUUGUUUUAGGUUGUUAAAGCAAGUUUGACUUUCUACGAUGUUUCCACCAACGUGCAUGGUCGCCAAACUUUGUCGUUGUGUCAGACUAUUAAUACGGAAGAAAAACGUUGAAUUAUUGGCGAUACGUUGGUCAAAGUGGCUGAUAAAACGGCUAACGAUUUAAAUCUCACUUGGAAUAAUCUACUUCUCAGACAAGGCAUCAACCUUCUCCUUUUUUUUUGCAUGUAUUGUGUUCCGUAAUAUUCAAUGUUAUCAUAAAUGAAAAUGUAACAGGUACUUUAAGCCCGGAUUGAAUUGAUCUGGUAUGAUAAAUAAUUAUAAUUGAUUAAG